rnacentral:rRNA from 1 species
UACAUGUGGGGCAAGCGUUGUUCGGAAUUACUGGGCAUAAAGGGUGCGUAGGUGGCUUGGUAAGUCAGUGGUGAAAUCGUCCGGCCCAACCGGACACGUGCCAAUGAUACUGCCGAGCUUGAGUGCGUGAGGGGUAGGGGGAACGAGCAGUGUAGCGGUGAAAUGCGUAGAUAUUGCUCGGAAGGCCAAAGCCGAAGGGACCCUACUGGUACGUAACUGACACUGAGGCACGAAAGCGUGGGGAGCAAACAGG